CGGACUUAGUGAUCCGGUGGUUCUGCGUGGAAGGGCCAUCGCUCAACGGAUAAAAGCUACCCUGGGGAUAACGGGCUUAUCUCCCCCAAGAGUCCACAUCGACGGGGAGGUUUGGCACCUCGAUGUCGGCUCAUCACAUCCUGGGGCUGUAGUAGGUCCCAAGGGUUGGGCUGUUCGCCCAUUAAAGUGGUACGCGAGCU
rnacentral:rRNA from 1 species